rnacentral:rRNA from 1 species
UGGGGAAUAUUGGGCAAUGGGCGCAAGCCUGACCCAGCAACGCCGCGUGAGGGAAGAAGGUCUUCGGAUUGUAAACCUCUGUCCUUGGGGACGAAAAAAAUGACGGUACCCAAGGAGGAAGCUCCGGCUAACUACGUGCCAGCAGCCGCGGUAAUACGUAGGGAGCGAGCGUUGUCCGGAAUUACUGGGCGUAAAGGGUGCGUAGGCGGCUUGGCAAGUCAGAUGUGAAAUCCCCGGGCUUAACUCGGGAGUUGCAUUUGAAACUGCUAGGCUUGAGUGCAGGAGAGGAAAGCGGAAUUCCUAGUGUAGGGGUGAAAUGGGUAGGUAUUAGGAGGAACACCAGUGGCGAAGGCGGCUUUCUGGACUG